rnacentral:rRNA from 1 species
UCCCAUUGAUCCUGUGGGAGGCUGCUGCUAUGAGGAUUCGGCUAAGCCAUGCAAGUCAAGGGGGAGCAAUCCACCGGCAAACUGCUCAGUAACACGUCGAUAAUCUAACUUUAGGUCAGGGAUAGCCUCGGGAAACUGAGAGUAAAACCUGAUAGGAAGAAAAAUCUGGAAGGAUUUUCUUCUCAAACUACGGGCCUAAAGAUGAGUCGGCGGCGGAUUAGGCUGUUGGCGGGGUAACGGCCCACCAAACCGAAGAUCCGUACGGGCCUUGAGAGAGGUAACCCGGAGAAGGACACUGAGAUACAGGUCCUAGCCCUACGGGGUGCAGCAGGCGCGAAAACUUUGCAAUGCACGAAAGUGUGACAAGGGAAUCCUCAGUGCCUAUACAAAGUAUAGGCUUUUGCCAAGUGUAAGUAGCUUGGCGAAUAAGUGGUGGGCAAGACUGGUGCCAGCCGCCGCGGUAACCCCAGCGCCACGAGUGGGAGCCACAUUUAUUUGGUCUAAAGCGUUCGUAGCAGGUUUGGUAAAUCUUUUGUGAAAUUGUCAUGCUUAACAUGACAGAUGGCAGAAGACACUGCUAAACUAGGGACCGGGAGGAGUUAGGGGUAUUUCACGGGGAGCGGUAAAAUGCUAUAAUCCGUGAAAGACCACCUGUGGCGAAGGCGCCUAACCAGAACGGAUCCGACUGUGAGGAACGAAAGCUAGGGGAGCAAUCCGGAUUAGAUACCCGAGUAGUCCUAGCCGUAAACGCUGUGUGCUAGGUGUCACGUAUUCUAUAGGAAUGCGUGGUGUCAAAGCGAAGGCGAUAAGCACACCACCUGGGAAGUACGGUCGCAAGGCUGAAACUUAAAGGAAUUGGCGGGGGAGCACUACAAGGGGUGCGGCGUGCGGUUUAAUCCAAUUCAACACGGAAAAUCUCACCAGGAGCGACGGCAGGAUGAAAGUCAGAUUAAAGGUUUUACUUGACGAGCCGAGAGGUAGUGCAUGGCCGUCGUCAGCUCGUACCGUGAGGUGUCCUGUUAAGUCAGGCAACGAGCGAGACCUGUAUCCAUAAUUGCUAACGGCAGAAUCAUCUGGACCGAGCACAUUAUGGGGACUGCCUUGGAAACAAGGAGGAAGGCGCAGGCUACGGUAGGUCUGUAUGCUCCGAAUCUUCUGGGCUACACGCGCGCAACAAUGGUAAGGACAAUGGGAUACAACUCCGAAAGGAGAAGUUAAACCUCUAAACCUUAUCUUAGUCCAGAUCGAGGGCUGUAACUCGCCCUCGUGACGUUGGAAUCCCUAGUAAUCGGACGUCAAUAGCGUCCGGUGAAUAUGUCCCUGCUCCUUGCACACACCGCCCGUCAAACCAACCGAGCAGGGUUUAGGUGAGUCUUAGCUUGACUGGUUAGGCCGAAUCUAAGCUCAGUA